AUUGAACGCUGGCGGCAUGCUUUACACAUGCAAGUCGAACGGUAACAGGCCGCAAGGUGCUGACGAGUGGCGAACGGGUGAGUAAUGCAUCGGAACGUGCCCAGUCGUGGGGGAUAACUACUCGAAAGAGUAGCUAAUACCGCAUACGACCUAUGGAUGAAAGCGGGGGACCGUAAGGCCUCGCGCGAUUGGAGCGGCCGAUGUCAGAUUAGGUAGUUGGUGGGGUAAAGGCUCACCAAGCCAACGAUCUGUAGCUGGUCUGAGAGGACAACCAGCCACACUGGGACUGAGACACGGCCCAGACUCCUACGGGAGGCAGCAGUGGGGAAUUUUGGACAAUGGGCGCAAGCCCGAUCCAGCAAUGCCGCGUGCAGGAAGAAGGCCUUCGGGUUGUAAACUGCUUUUGUACGGAACGAAACGGCCCUGGUUAAUACCCGGGGCUAAUGACGGUACCGUAAGAAUAAGCACCGGCUAACUACGUG
rnacentral:rRNA from 1 species